CAUACAAACAGGCACUCGCACUUGAAUGAAUAAAGAACUAAACAACUAAUCACCAAUAUUUCACCAGCUUUCCCGCAUUUCCAAAGCUUUUCAAAAGGGUGCUUGUUUAUAAAGCUUUUCCACAGCUUUCCCAUUUCUAUUACCUACAUUCCUUGUAUUCCAGGAACAGUCUUGGAAGAGGGGUGUUGCUAUGUAGUGUGAGAUUUCUACUAAAAUGCACCUGAGAUUCUUGUGAAACGAUUUGAAUUUUUUUCGUCGGGUAUAAUGGAACAAACAAUAGCUUCAGGUCUACAAAUGAAGGUGGUGAAAUCCUCGGUUUCUAGGAAUAUAUCAUGGAAGAUGACCAAUUCGAGUGCUGCAGUUUUUGGUGCUAAUCCAAAAACAAAUUCAUACUCUAUGUUCCCAAGGGCUUCAUAUAUUUCAUCAGUAAAACCUUUGUCAUGUAACAAUACUUCUACGCCAUCUAAAUCCAAUGAAUUCAUCACAAGGGAAAUGUCUCAAUCUCCUGAGAGCAAACCUACUCUUCCUGGUUUGCCUAUUGACUUGAGAGGGAAAAGAGCAUUUAUAGCUGGAAUAGCUGAUGAAAAUGGGUAUGGAUGGGCGAUAGCAAAAUCUCUGGCUGCUGCGGGUGCUGAAAUUUUAGUUGGUACAUGGGUGCCUGCAAUGAAUAUUUUCGAGACCAGUCUUCACCGUGGGAAGUUUGAUGCAUCUCGCAUUUUGCCAGAUGGGUCACUAAUUGAAAUUACUAAAGUUUAUCCAUUAGAUGCUGUUUUUGACAACCCUGAGGAUGUACCAGAAGAUAUUAAAGCAAAUAGGCGUUAUGCAGCAUACUCUAACUGGACCGUUCAGGAAGUAGCUGAGUGUGUAAAGAAGGAUUUCGGAACUAUUGACAUCCUUGUGCACUCCCUUGCCAAUGGACCAGAGGUCACUAAGCCUUUACUGGAGACAUCCAGAAAAGGAUAUCUUGCAGCUUUAUCUGCAUCUAGUUACUCCUAUGUUUCAUUACUGAAGCAUUUCGUUCCAAUAAUGAACCCAGGUGGUGCUACAAUUUCUCUCACACAUAAUGCCUCGGAAAGAAUCAUCCCUGGGUAUGGUGGGGGCAUGAGUUCAGCUAAAGCUGCUCUAGAGAGCGACACCAGGGUGCUUGCUUUUGAAGCUGGAAGGCGCUAUAAAGUCAGGAUCAACACUAUAUCUGCUGGUCCUCUGAGAAGCCGCGCUGCAAAAGCCAUUGGCUUUGUUGACACAAUGAUAGAAUACUCAAUAAAUAAUGCACCAUUGCAGAAAGAGCUGGCAGCAGAUGAAGUUGGCAAUGCUGCUGCAUUCUUGUUAUCACCGUUAUCUUCUGCUAUUACGGGUUCAGUUGUUUAUGUUGACAACGGUCUGAACGCAAUGGGGAUGGCAGUUGAUAGCCCAGUAUUUGGAGACAAUAACAUUCCAAAAGACAACUAGAUCAGCUAGAGGGAGAAGAUACUCUUUAUAAUAUAUAUGAUACCGAAUGGACUAGAAGUGAGGGCGGAGAACAAAAUGUAUGGAAGAGCUAUUUUUUGGUUUUUUCUCGUGAAAUGAAGAAGUAAUUUACUUAUAGCUCCUGAAAGGAAUUUUGGAAUCAAACGUUUUGAAUGAGGCUGUUGCAUUAAUUCUGGAAUGAAACGCUUUGGAUGAGCUUGCCACACAUACUUUAUCAACACUCUCCUUACAAUCAAACUAAUCAACAUCAAGUCUUCUGUUGGCAUUAUUAAAUCUUAUACCCAAUCAACUACCACAUGCACAUUUGCCAUGCAGGAAACCGUAAGUACUGCCACAAGCACAUGUGGCUCGCAGACCACGACUACCAAGGGCCCUCGCAGAAAGCCUACGAGUGAGUUGUUUGCCGGGAAAGGAUUUGAAAAAGGGUACAAUUCUGGGCACUUAUUCUUCCUUGUCAAAAUUUCAAAAGAAAAAUUUUGGACUUUUGGCAACGGUUUUAUACCUUUUUUACCCUACACAAUAAAAUUUUUGCAACGAUUUUAGACAAGCGAGGACUAAUAGAGUCCAGUUGACCCCAUCGUUCAUGUGGUUGACCUUUGACUGUGUACUGUUGUUCAGUCAAGAACGGGAGUGCGCUCCUACCAUCACUCGAAAAUAAUGUUGUUGAUCGUUGACUGCAUGUUGUUGACCAAUCAAAAUGACUCCAUUUCGAACUCACUAUCAGUGCACUUCAAAAAUUGUUUUUAUUAUAUUUAUCAUGCAAUCAUGUACGUCAUCAUUUGAGGAACAUGUAUAAGCCGUAUUCUUUUGUCAUUUUUUGCCCGUUUGGUCGGUGUUAUGUUAAUGGUGCCGGUGUAAAUCGAAAUUAAGUAUGAGUUGGUUUUUGUGGUGAUGGUGGUACUGAAAUCUUGAUGUAUGUCAAUGGUGCCGAUGGUGGAGAAAUCAUAGGCAACGGUACGUGGUGGAGAAAGAUUGAGUUUUUCUAUUUUCAAUUGCUUAUUUAUUCUGUAAAGAUGAUUGUGGAAACAGUGGAAAUAUAUGGAGUUCCUAAAUUUUCAGUUGGUUAGGAGAAAAGUGACGAUGGAGAAGACAA